rnacentral:rRNA from 1 species
GACGUACGCUGGCGGCGUGCUUAACACAUGCAAGUCGAACGGAAAGGCCCUGCUUUUGUGGGGUGCUCGAGUGGCGAACGGGUGAGUAACACUUGAGUAACCUGCCCUUGACUGUGGGAUAACUUCAGGAAACUGGGGCUAAUACCGGAUAGGAGCUCCUGCUGCAUGGUGGGGGUUGGAAAGUUUCGGCGGUUGGGGAUGGACUCGCGGCUUAUCAGCUUGUUGGUGGGGUAGUGGCUUACCAAGGCUUUGACGGGUAGCCGGGCUGAGCGGGUCACCUGCCAAAUUGGGACUGAACUGCGGCACAGCCUACUACGGGAGGCAGCAGAGCGGAAUAGUGCACAAUGGGAGGAAGGCUGAUGCAGCAAAGCAGCGUGCGGGAUGACGGCCUUCGGGUUGUAAACCGAUUUCGCCUGUGCCGAAGCGUGAGUGACGGUAAUGGGUAAAGAAGCACCGGCUAACUACGUG